AAGACAACUCAGGAGAUCUGUUGGAAAGAGAAUGAUAGAGGAAAAUAUAUGAAUGUUGCCAUCUUUAGCUAUAGCACCACCCAGCUCAGGCCACCCACCCACCUUCGGUCCUGAGGCCUGGUUGCUCUCUGCCGGCUUCGCCCUGACCUGUUUCCGACCUGUGUUCCCUCCGCUGUGCCAGGACAGGCCCCAUGCUGCUCUGGACGGCUGUGCUGCUCUUUGUUCCCUGUGUUGGGAAAACUGUCUGGCUGUACCUCCAAGCCUGGCCAAAUCCUGUGUUUGAAGGAGAUGCCCUGACUCUGCGAUGUCAGGGAUUGAAGAAUACACCACUGUCUCAGGUGAAGUUCUACAGAGAUGGAAAAUUCCUUCAUUUCUCUAAGAAAAACCAGACUCUGUCCAUGGGAGCAGCAACAGUGCAGAGCCGUGGCCAGUACAGCUGCUCUGGGCAGGUGAUGUAUAUUCCACAGACAUUCACACAAACUUCAGAGACUGCCAUGGUUCAAGUCCAAGGUGAGUCACCAGCUUGGGAGUUUGUGGGGCAGGAGGUGCUGCUCAAGGGUCCCGUCUCUAGAGGUCUGUAGCUCUCUGGGCUGGACCCCUGUCUCUGGCUGCCCCUCAUGCUGGGCCAAUGUGUGGGGCCCCGAGGUUUCCCAAGAUGUUGUCUCAAUACCCACCUCUCCCCACCAUGGGGGACACAUGUAGCCAGGGGAAGGA
rnacentral:sRNA from 1 species